rnacentral:rRNA from 1 species
AGAGUUUGAUCCUGGCUCAGGAUGAACGCUAGCGGCAGGCCUAACACAUGCAAGUCGAGGGGCAGCGAGGAGUGCUUGCACUCUGUCGGCGACCGGCGCACGGGUGAGUAACGCGUAUGCAAUCUACCUUAUACUGGAGUAUAGCCCAGAGAAAUUUGGAUUAAUCCUUCAUAGUCUAUUGACGUGGCAUCACGACAAUAGUAAAGGUUACGGUAUAAGAUGAGCAUGCGUCCUAUUAGUUAGUUGGUGUGGUAACGGCACACCAAGACAUCGAUAGGUAGGGGCCCUGAGAGGGGGAUCCCCCACACUGGUACUGAGACACGGACCAGACUCCUACGGGAGGCAGCAGUGAGGAAUAUUGGACAAUGGGCGAGAGCCUGAUCCAGCCAUGCCGCGUGCAGGAAGACUGCCCUAUGGGUUGUAAACUGCUUUUAUACGGGAAGAAACACUCCUACGUGUAGGAAUUUGACGGUACCGUAAGAAUAAGCAUCGGCUAACUCCGUGCCAGCAGCCGCGGUAAUACGGAGGAUGCAAGCGUUAUCCGGAAUCAUUGGGCGUAAAGCGUCCGCAGGUGGUUUCCAAAGUCUGCUGUUAAAGACUGGAGCUCAACUCCGGAACGGCGGUGGAAACUUGGAAACUAGAGUUCGGUAGGGGUAGCAGGAAUUCCCAGUGUAGCGGUGAAAUGCGUAGAUAUUGGGAAGAACAUCGGUGGCGAAGGCGUGCUACUGGACCGCAACUGACACUCAGGGACGAAAGCUAGGGUAGCGAAAGGGAUUAGAUACCCCUGUAGUCCUAGCCGUAAACGAUGGAAACUAGGUGUGGCUUGUAUCGACCCGAGCCGUGCCGUAGCUAACGCGUUAAGUUUCCCGCCUGGGGAGUACGCACGCAAGUGUGAAACUCAAAGGAAUUGACGGGGGCCCGCACAAGCGGUGGAGUAUGUGGUUUAAUUCGAUGCAACGCGAAGAACCUUACCAG